rnacentral:misc_RNA from 1 species
GAUGAAGAACGCAGCGAAAUGCGAUAAGUAAUGUGAAUUGCAGAAUUCAGUGAAUCAUCGAAUCUUUGAACGCACAUUGCGCCCGUUAGUAUUCUGGCGGGCAUGCCUGUCCGAGCGUCAUUUCAACCCUCAAGCCCCCGGGCUUGGUGUUGGGGAUCGGCGAGCCUCCGCGCCCGCCGUCCCCUAAAUCUAGUGGCGGUCUCGCUGUAGCUUCCUCUGCGUAGUAGCACACCUCGCACUGGGAAACAGCGCGGCCACGCCGUUAAACCCCCAACUUCUGAACGUUUGACCUCGGAUCAGGUAGGAAUACCCGCUGAACUUAAGCAUAUCAAUAAGCGGAGGA